rnacentral:ncRNA from 2 species
AAAAUUACAUUUAUUAUAGGUACCUUAUUAGGUUUAAAAGGGAAAGAAGUUAAAAGCUUCUGCGGUCCCGCCACUGUAAUGAUGAGUUCUUAGCAAGUUACCACUCAAUUUUGGGGAAGGUGCUAAAGAACAAUGAAUCUGAGCCAGGAGACCUGCCUAUAAUUUUAAUCACUU